UACGGAGGGUGCAAGCGUUAUCCGGAUUCACUGGGUUUAAAGGGAGCGUAGGUGGGAUGGUAAGUCAGUGGUGAAAUCUCCGGGCUUAACUCGGAAACUGCCGUUGAUACUAUCAUUCUUGAAUAUUGUGGAGGUAAGCGGAAUAUGUCAUGUAGCGGUGAAAUGCUUAGAUAUCGUCAAGAACACCGAUAGCGAAGGCAGCUUACUACAGGGAUAUUGACACUGAGGCACGAAAAGCGUGGGGAUCAAACAGG
rnacentral:rRNA from 1 species